UACAGAGGAUGCAAACGUUAUCCGGAAUGAUUGGGGCGUAAAGCGUCUGUAGGUGGCUUUUUAAGUCUGCCAUCAAAUCCCAGGGCUCAACUCUGGACAGGCGGUGGAAACUACCAAGCUGGAGUACGGUAGGGGCAGAGGGAAUUUCCGGUGAAGCGGUGAAAUGCGCAGAUAUCAGGAGGAACACCAAUAGCGAAGGCAGCUCGCUGGGACGGUACUGACGCUGAGGCGCGAAAGCGUGGGGAGCAAACAGG
rnacentral:rRNA from 1 species